rnacentral:misc_RNA from 1 species
UAUUCCUUUCUUUUUUUCUUUACUUCAGCUAGGGUGGAGCUAGAAGUGAGACAUCAAAUAUGUACAAAUACUAAAUUUAGAACCCAGUUACUACAGUCAUUGUCCUAGAUAUUAUAACCCAUGAAGCUGGAAUCCUCACUCUGUCCCUGCUAGCUAGUACUUGCUUCGUAUACUCGAACUUGACCUUGUUAAUAGCUUGACUACCUCUUUCAUUGAGGGUCUUUUGCUGACUUCCUUCUCUGUACAUCUAAGAGCUAGUGAAAGCACUUCAAUUACUUGUUCCAUGACACUUGAGUCUAUGAAUUCGUCCAAAAGUCUUGGAUCCACAAUCUUCUCAAUUUCUUCAGUUUCUGUCCAAACAGACCUAACCCAACAUACAAUAUCUGUUUCCCCAUAGAGUGAACGGUCCAACACCUUCUUUCGAGUUAUAAGUUCUAAUAGGACAAUGCCAUAACUAUAAACAUCCGACUCCUUGCUCUUUGUAGCUGCAAAUGCAGUUUCUG